GAGGACUUCUUGAACCCAGAAGUUCAAGGCUGCAGUCCUAAGACUCAUUCCAAAGAGGGUCCUGUCUCAUACCCAAGAGGAAGGACUGCAGCGCAGGGAGGCCAAACAGAAUGCAGACACGCGGGCCUGCUGGGGUCACCACCCAGUGGAUUAGAGUAGCUCCUGACAGAUUCUGUUUCUCCACAACAGUCCAGAUUUUGCUGAACCUGAGCAUUAAACUAGACAGCUUCCUCUGUAUUCAUUCUGAAGACUCUUGUAUCACAUAAAGCUAUGAUCAAAUACAUUUGUAUGCCUUUUCUCUUUUAA